rnacentral:rRNA from 1 species
GAUGAACGCUGGCGGCGUGCCUAAUACAUGCAAGUCGAGCGAACAGACGUGGAUCUUGCUCCUUUGACGUUAGCCGCGGACGGGUGUGUAACACGUGGAUAACCUACCUAUAAGACUGGGAUAACUUCGGGAAACCGGAUCUAAUACCGGAUAAUAUAUUGAACCGUAUGGUUCAAUAGUGAAAGACGGCUUUGCUGUCACUUAUAGAUGGAUCCGCGCCGCAUUAGCUAGUUGGUGAGGUAACGGCUUAUCAAGGCAACGAUGCGUAGCCGACCUGAGAGGGUGAUCGGCCACACUGGAGGUGAGACACGGUCCAGACUCCUACGGGAGGCAGCAGUAGGGAAUCGUCCGCAAUGGGCGAAAGCCUGACGGAGCAACGCCGCGUGAGUGAUGAAGGUCUUCGGAUCGUAAAGCUCUGUUAUUAGGGAAGAACAAAUGUGUAAGUAACUAUGCACGUCUUGACGGUACCUAAUCAGAAAGCCACGGCUAACUACGUG